rnacentral:antisense_RNA from 1 species
ACAACUGCAGCGAGAGAAGAGGCUGGCAGCAUGGGUGGCAGGAGGCUUGGCAGCCUCACAGGAUGCCUGCAAAUACCUUUCACUUAUGCAGUUUGGCAGUGCAGUGGUGCAUGGAGACAGCGUCUUGGGCCUGAGAUGAACCAUCCAAUCUCCUGCCUCGAGUAUUGAAGCCUGGCUACUGUGACUGUGGGGAAGGGAUUAAUGGUCUCAGCAUUCAGGGCCUCAGAGAACCAGGAUGUGCUUCCAUCUUAUGGCUGCAACAUCUCAACAUCUCACCAAGAAAGGAGAAGAGAGAGUUAGAGGGUCUCACAGUGACUUUUAAUUUCUUCAGCCUGUCACAUUUCAAAGGCCAGAUCUUUCCCAGGGCUUAAGCUGUUCCUUGGAUACUUUUGCUGAUGGUUUACACAUCUUCUUCCCACAUUAUAUUGUAACUUUCUU